rnacentral:rRNA from 1 species
AGCGAACGCUGGCGGCAGGCUUAACACAUGCAAGUCGAACGGGCAUAGCAAUAUGUCAGUGGCAGACGGGUGAGUAACGCGUGGGAACGUACCUUUUGGUUCGGAACAACACAGGGAAACUUGUGCUAAUACCGGAUAAGCCCUUACGGGGAAAGAUUUAUCGCCGAAAGAUCGGCCCGCGUCUGAUUAGCUAGUUGGUAGGGUAAUGGCCUACCAAGGCGACGAUCAGUAGCUGGUCUGAGAGGAUGAUCAGCCACAUUGGGACUGAGACACGGCCCAAACUCCUACGGGAGGCAGCAGUGGGGAAUAUUGGACAAUGGGCGAAAGCCUGAUCCAGCCAUGCCGCGUGAGUGAUGAGGGCCCUAGGGUUGUAAAGCUCUUUUGUGCGGGAAGAUAAUGACGGUACCGCAAGAAUAAGCCCCGGCUAACUUCGUG